GUCCACGCCCUAAACGAUCAUCACUGGCUUUAAGGAGUAUCGACCCUCUUUGAGGCGAAGCUAACGCGUUAAGUGAUGCGCCUGGGUAGUACGAUCGCAAGAUUAAAACUCAAAGGAAUAGACGGGGACUUGCACAAGCGGUGGAUCAUGCGGCUCAAUUCGAUGACAAACGAAGAACCUCACCAGGGUUUGAAACGGAGAUGAAACUCCUAGGAAACUAGGAGCCUCGCAAGACAGCUCCGCAGGUGAUGCAUGGUCGUCGU
rnacentral:rRNA from 1 species